rnacentral:lncRNA from 1 species
CACGAUACCAUUUCUUUAAGCUGAAUAAUACUAAAUAAUAAUACAUUCGAACUUAAUUUACAUACAUCAAAGUUUACUUCCCCAGGUACAUGACCUUCAAAUACAUUCCUUACAAUACUUGAAUAGAUACCAAUACAACUAUAACCAUUAACUCAUAAUACACACUUAUUCGAUCAGCUUUCCUUUUCCUUUGUUCGUGCCUGAGCCUUCAGGUUGCUCAUACAUAACUGAAAACAUUUAAUUUAAGCAAGGAUGAGCAUUUAAGUGCCCAG